rnacentral:rRNA from 1 species
UACGUAGGGGCCGAGCGUUGUCCGGAGUUAUUGGGCGUAAAGCGCGCGCAGGCGGCCUCGCGCGCCCGACGUGAAAGCCCCCGGCUUAACCGGGGAGGGUCGUUGGGGACGGCGGGGCUUGAGGGCGGGAGAGGGCGGUGGAAUUCCCGGUGUAGUGGUGAAAUGCGUAGAGAUCGGGAGGAACACCCGUGGCGAAGGCGGCCACCUGGGCCGACCCUGACGCUGAGGCGCGAAGGCGUGGGGAGCGAACGGG